GACGAACGCUGGCGGCGUGCUUAACACAUGCAAGUCGAGCGGAAAGGCCCUUCGGGUACGUCGAGCGGCGAACGGGUGAGUAACACGUGAGUAACCUGCCCUUGGCUCUGGGAUAGCUCCGGGAAACCGGAAUUAAUACCGGAUAUGACCUCGGCCGACAUCGGCUGUGGUGGAAAGAUUUAUCGGCCAGGGAUGGGCUCGCGGCCUAUCAGCUAGUUGGUGGGGUAACGGCCUACCAAGGCGACGACGGGUAGCCGGCCUGAGAGGGCGACCGGCCACACUGGGACUGAGACACGGCCCAGACUCCUACGGGAGGCGAGCAGUGGGGAAGUAUUGGACAAUGGGCGCAAGCCUGAUCCAGCCAUGCCGCGUGAAGUGAUGAAGG
rnacentral:rRNA from 1 species